rnacentral:rRNA from 1 species
UUUAUUUGAGAGUUUGAUCCUGGCUCAGGAUGAACGCUGGCGGCGUGCCUAAUACAUGCAAGUCGAGCGAAUGGAUUAAGAGCUUGCUCUUAUGAAGUUAGC